rnacentral:rRNA from 1 species
GAGUUUGAUCCUGGCUCAGAACGAACGCUGGCGGCAUGCCUAACACAUGCAAGUCGAACGAACCCUUCGGGGUGAGUGGCGCACGGGUGCGUAACGCGUGGGAACCUGCCUUUAGGUUCGGAAUAACAGUUAGAAAUGACUGCUAAUACCGGAUGAUGUCUUCGGACCAAAGAUUUAUCGCCUUUAGAUGGGCCCGCGUUGGAUUAGCUAGUUGGUGGGGUAAAAGCCUACCAAGGCGACGAUCUAUAGCUGGUCUGAGAGGAUGAUCAGCCACACUGGGACUGAGACACGGCCCAGACUCCUACGGGAGGCAGCAGUGGGGAAUAUUGGACAAUGGGCGAAAGCCUGAUCCAGCAAUGCCGCGUGAGUGAUGAAGGCCUUAGGGUUGUAAAGCUCUUUUACCAGGGAUGAUAAUGACAGUACCUGGAGAAUAAGCUCCGGCUAACUCCGUGCCAGCCCACGGUAUCAAA